GGUCGAGAGUGACGUGACGCGAUCGUAGAAAUUGAAACAAAUUAUUUCGCGAACCGCGCUCUAUACUAUCUAUUCGUGUGAUUAUUGAAUUGACGACAAUUUUCGUCUUAAUUGUUAAUACAAAAUCGUUUCAAAUCAAAUAUUUUUACUUAACCGGAUAAAGGCUUUCUUAUAAUUGAUUCGAAUACGUGCGCGAUUCAAUUGCAAUACUUUCAAGCGAUUAAGAGUUAGUAUAAAAUUCAAUUGAAGGGAUUUCAGCCAUCUAGUCAACUCAAUACAAAUAUACACUUUUUCCGAACCGGGGAUUUACGGUAUCACGGUUAUCACAACAAUCCCGGGAUCCCGGAAUUAGUCCCGGGAGUUAGAUAUUCAUUACUUCUCAAUAACUUAAAUCGCAAAAACUGCUUCUUUAUUGUUUGGGCAGCUCUCCGACCAUAAAAUAAAUAAUAAAUAAAUGGGUUUGAAACCUACUUUUUUUAUUGAAA